UAGGGAAUCUUCCGCAAUGGACGCAAGUCUGACGGAGCAACGCCGCGUGAGUGAAGAAGGAUUUCGGUUCGUAAAACUCUGUUGUUAGAGAAGAACAGCGCAUAGAGUAACUGUUAUGCGUGUGACGGUAUCUAACCAGAAAGCCACGGCUAACUACGUGCCAGCAGCCGCGGUAAUACGUAGGUGGCAAGCGUUGUCCGGAUUUAUUGGGCGUAAAGCGAGCGCAGGCGGUCAAUUAAGUCUGAUGUGAAAGCCCCCGGCUCAACCGGGGAGGGUCAUUGGAAACUGGUUGACUUGAGUGCAGAAGAGGAGAGUGGAAUUCCAUGUGUAGCGGUGAAAUGCGUAGAUAUAUGGAGGAACACCAGUGGCGAAGGCGACUCUCUGGUCUGUAACUGACGCUGAGGUUCGAAAGCGUGGGGAGCAAACAGG
rnacentral:rRNA from 1 species